rnacentral:rRNA from 1 species
UACGGGGGGGCAAGCGUUGUUCGGAAUUAUUGGGCGUAAAGAGCUCGUAGGCGGUCUGUCGCGUCGGCUGUGAAAUCCCGAGGCUCAACCUCGGGUCUGCAGUCGAUACGGGCAAACUAGAGUAUUGCAGGGAGACUGGAAUUCCUGGUGUAGCGGUGAAAUGCGCAGAUAUCAGGAGGAACACCGGUGGCGAAGGCGGGUCUCUGGGCAAUAACUGACGCUGAGGGCGAAG